GCGGUGCACUUGAAGAAAAUUCAAGAAGCAACAACAACAAAAAAAGGAUAAAAGUGUAUCUAUUACAAUAAUUCCAACCAAGUAAUCUUUUACAAUAACAACAAAAUAAGAAUGGAAAACUCUCCAAACUCCAUUGAAAUGCAGAUAGAUAACUUCCUGGAGCAUUUUAAGCGUAGCGCCUCUAAAGCAAUGGACGCCGACUGGGUUGUGGGCGGAAGUAUGAGUAGCAGUUGCAAUGGAGUGUCUGCUUUUGGCAAUUUGACCAAAACUAGAAGCCGUUCAAGUUGCUUAGAUGUAACGGAAUUGUCAGACAAUGAUGUUGAAUUUGCACUUGCCGAAUCCAAGGCAAUGGUUAUGAGUGCCUCCCGCCAACAUGUUUUACAAUCACAAUCUUCUGUCAAUAGUACAGCCUCGAUACAAACAGUUUUACAUCAAACUGAUGCAACAUUACAAAAUUCAUCAAUAAGCCAACUUCAAACAUCGAUAAUAAGCAACGGUUCUGGACAAUCACAAUUGCAUUUACAACAACAACAACAUCAAAAUAUUAAUCAACAAUCUACACAACAUCAUCAUCCAUCAGAUAGUAUAAGUUCAUUUUUAGAACAAAUAAAUCCACCAGCUGUUGUAAUGAGUACAUCAGUUAAUGGAGGAGGUGAAAGUCCUUUAAAUAUUGGUGAUGUUGCUGAUUUAUUACAUCCGCAACAUGCAAUUAUCACAGGUGGAAGAUCUAGUGAAGGCUGCCCACUUAUAAUAUUUCCUGACAAUAAUAAUUUUCACGUGCUAGAAGAAGCUGAUUACCAAAAAUUAAUUUUAUACUUAACUUCAGUGCCAUCUAUGCAAGAUGCCGAUCUUGGAUAUCACCUAAUAAUUGAUAGGCGAAAAGACAAAUGGACAUCAGUAAAAGCAGUUUUACAUAAAAUAUCAAUCUAUUUCCCUGGAAUCGUUCAUGUGGUCUAUGUUUUGCGACCAGCUGGUCUGUUCCAAAAAGCAAUAUCAGAAGUCAGUACAAAGUUCUCCAAAGAUGAAUAUCGUUUUCGUUUAGUCAUAUGCUCCGCUCUAACCGAUCUCCAUGAGUAUCUGGAUACAUCACAAUUAACAGUUGAUAUGGGUGGAACCUUAGUCUAUUCACAUCAUGAAUGGAUUCAACAAAGAAUUUCUUUGGAAAAAUUCUCAAGUCUAACACAUCAAGUAUCAAAUGAAUUGGAUAUUUUCAUUCAAGUUAUUCAUGAUACAGAAUUUCCAAAUUCUGUUGAAGCUACUCAAAAAUUGUUAGAUGAUCAAGGAGCUGAUUAUGAUCGGUUAAAGGAAGAAAUACUAGCUGCUGCGAAACAUGGUGAAAGUCUUUUAAAUAAUAUCAAAUCCAACGAUGAAAUUAAAGAAUUUUCUGAAAGAACCGGGAACGUCAGCUCCAUUGAGCGACCCAGUGCAGGGAAUAUAAUGAUGAAGCAACAUCAAAAUGUUGCGCAACAUAUUGUUGAUGAUUGUCGCGAUUAUCGCAGACUUUUGGUGCAACUGGAGGAGACCGAACGACGUUUUGAUGAAUUCUGGAAGACGCAUAAGAAUCGCCUGAAACAAUGUCUUGAAUUGAGGCGAUUCGAACAAGAUUUUCGAGAGUUGCAGACCAAUUUUGAUGUUCAUCUAAAAACAGUUGCUGAUAUGACAGAAAUCGGUGAAACAGUCGUUAGGGUUGACACAUUGAUCAAAGAAACCAAAGCUUUUCAGAAGAUGUGCGAAACCGAUAUUGAACGUGCUGAGCAAGUGAUAUCGGCUGGACAGCAAUUGAUUGGUAUUCGAGGAGCUUAUCCCUGGGAAAUCGUUCAACCCAAAUGUGAUGAGCUGGCUCGAGUUUGUGAUAUAAUUCAUGAGCGGUUGUGCAAACGGCUCGAGAUUUUGAGCAAAAAUCGAGAACUAAUGGAGAGAGUUGAAAAGGCUAAUAAAUGGUGUGCCAACGGUGUCGAACUCCUUGCCACGCAACGCAUUGAAAAAUGUUCAGUAUCAGCGGAAAUUGCCGAUAAAAGUUUGCAAGAAAUUCAAGCGUUCAUUGCCUCAGCAUCUGAAUUUAAACUAUCUAGUCCUAGAGAAUUUAAGAAUGUUUUCCUUGAAAGUACAACACCAGAAACUAAAGCUCUAGUCACUCAAGUCUUACAAAGAAUCGACGAUGUGUCAUUGAUGUGUGAUAAGCGUAUAGCAAGCUUAAAGAAACUAACACUAAAGCCUCCUCGGCCAGUGCAAACAGUUACUCCAGAACCAGCUGUGCCACUACAACCACCAGGUGGAGCACCAAAUUUACUUCGUCGAAAAAAGGCUGAUGUAAUACACGACAUGAGACCAAGAUCUAUGGAUGGAGUCGUUGACUCAGGAGUUUCAUUAAAUGGCGAUACCGGUUCUAGUCCCGACAGUGAACACAUGCAAAAUCAACAGGACUCUGAAGCACGUCGUCUUAAACGUGGCCAUGUACUAUCAGAACUUCUCGAAACCGAACGAAUCUACGUCACAGAAAUGAGUUCAAUCCUUAAGGGCUAUUGUGAUCAAAUGCAAUCUGAAGAGCUGAUGCACCUAGUACCAGCAAGCUUACAAGGCAAAGAAGACAUUUUAUUUGGUAAUCUUCACGAGCUAUACACAUUUCAUAGUGAAAUCUUCCUCAAAGAUCUGGAAAAUUGUAUUUCCACCACGGAAUUGGUGGCUUUGUGUUUUGUUCAAAGGCGCGAUACAUUCUAUCGCCUAUACUCGUUUUACUGUCAAAAUAUUCCUCGAUCGGAGCGAUUACGUGAAACUCUAGUCGAUACCCACCUUUUUCUACAAGAAUGCCAAAAACGUUUAGGCCACAAAUUACCAUUGGCUGCUUAUCUUCUAAAACCUGUUCAAAGGAUAACCAAGUAUCAGCUAUUGCUGAAGGAUCUUUUGCGAUUCAGCGAUAGUGGAAGUUGUACGAAGGAACUUCAAAAAGCACUCGAUUGCAUGUUGAUUGUGCUGAAAUGUGUCAAUGAUUCGAUGCAUCAAAUUGCUAUUACCGGUUUUCCUAGUGAUUUAUCCCAACAAGGUGAGCUCCUCCUUCAGGAUUCCUUCCAAGUGUGGACGGAAAGUAAAAAAGACAUCCGAUUGAGAAUUAAACCUCAACAAAGGCACAUUUUCUUGUACCAAAAGUCGAUGUUAUUUUGUAAGCAAACCUCAAAAACUGGUCACAAUAAAAGCACCUAUCAAUUUAAGCAUUAUGUUAAGAUGUCACAAAUUGGUCUCACAGAAUCUGUACGAGGUGAUCCUAAACGUUUUGAAGUAUGGCUACAAGGCCGUCAAGAAGUUCACACCCUUCAGGCACCCACUAUCGAUGUAAAAAACAAAUGGGUAGCCGAAGUUAAGAGAGUUCUUCUCAAUCAACUUGAAGAACUCAAAGGUGAAAAAAUCAAGCAAUAUGGCCUCAAUCAUCGUGGCCUCCGCCAAACUGCCUCUUGGGACACACCCAACUCAAUAAUCUCAACACCUCAACGUACAAUGAGCUGCGAAGUCUCAUCGGAGUCAAAUCGCAAUUCGAAUUGCAGCAGCGAAGAUAGUUGCCCACCUCAUACGCCAGGUGUCAGCUCGAUCUCAUCGACAGAAAAAGAAAAUCCCGACGGUUGUGGUUGGAGUUCGGAUUAUUCGAAUAGUGAAGAUGAAAUGUCAAUGAUCGAGGAUAAUUCAACACCGACAUUUUUAAAUUUUCUGGCACAAUGGGCUUACAAUCAUGAUGGUGGUUCCUAUCCGCGUGCAAGUAAAUCAAAUUCAAAAUUUUAUGUUUCGGUUGAACAUUAAAAAAAAAUUAAGCAAAUAUUUUUUGAACUGAUAGUACAAAAACCAAAAAUUAAAAUUUUUUAAAAAAGGAAAAUAUACAGUAUUUCGGGCUGCCAUCAUAAUUUUAAUGACAAUUUUUAGCUUUACAAAAAAAAAUUAAAUAAAUUGUAUAAAUAUUGUAAAUAAAUAUUUAAAAAAAAAAUCAACUCAAAAAUAAAAUAAUGGAUAAGAACCGCGGGUAGCAGUUUUUACGGUUUUUAUUUUGGCCUACUAUCUCUUGGUCGUAGUUGGUCACUGUCACAAUAUUCUUUGACAAAGUAAAAAUUUAGUAAAAAAAAAACAAAAAAAACAUACAUAAAGCAACUCCAUCGAUACAUCAAAUUUGGAGGCCAUCAUUUGACAUCAUUGUUUUUAUUACAUACCAAUUCAGAAGGUUGGUCCCCAGCCGCGUACUUGGAAUCAAUCAAUCGAAAAUCAUCACGAAGUUCGAGUCGGAAUCAAGAACGAACAGUGAAUAUAAUAAAUAUAAAUUCAAAUUAAACCAACAACAACAACAAAAAUCUCUUAAAAUACAUAAUAAAUAUCUAUCUCAAAAAAAAAAAA